rnacentral:rRNA from 1 species
UGGUGCAUGGCUGUCGUCAGCUCAUGCCGUAAGGUGUUGGGUUAAGUCUCGCAACGAGCGCAACCCUCGUGUUUAGUUGCCACUAUGAGUUUGGAACCCUGAACAGACCGCCGGUGUUAAGCCGGAGGAAGGAGAGGAUGAGGCCAAGUCAUCAUGCC